AUGCAGCCCACAGGUCUAGCACUACUGCCAGGCACGUGUGACACAUGUGACAGUGUGACAUGCACACACACAUGUGAGCAGAGGCCACACACACCUGCUGCCAGACCCAGAAGCAGCUGGGCCCUAUGCAGGCAGCGAGGGGUAUUGAGACUCGUGUUCAAAACACGGCAAGUGUAUCUGGAAAAUGCUAGGGCCUCCCCCAGCCAGACAUCAGGGACAUCACAUUACAGAGAGGGACAUCACAUCUCUCGGAGGAUCAGGGUCAGGAUCACACUGUCACAGCCAGACCAGAGAGGGACAUCACAUCUCUCAGAGGGUCAGGGUCACAGCCACACAGCCAGACCAGAGAGGGACAUCACAUCUCUCGGAGGAUCAGGGUCAGGAUCACACUGUCACAGCCAGACCAGAGAGGGACAUCACAUCUCUCGGAGGAUCAGGGUCAGGAUCACACUGUCACAGCCAGACCAGAGAGGGACAUCACAUCUCUCGGAGGGUCAGGGUCAGGGUCACAGCCACACACCAUCCUGCACUGUAACCCAGACUAGAGAGAGCAGUGACACACGAGGGUCAGGCUCUGAAAACAAGUCAAUACCUCAGGCUUCCGUAGCUCAACAAGCAGCGCAGUGGCCACAUGUGCGAGGGGACCCUCGUCAGGAACCCACGGCUACAGAGGAUGCGUCCGCUCCCUGCCCCUGGGUGGUAGCCGGCACUUUUCCUCCUCCAGCAACACAGCUCCCUCCCCCGGGUCGUCCUCCCUCCAGUGCUGAGCGUCUGGUGGUUUCGUUUAGCACGAGGAGCCCUGAGCCACGAGGUCCUCACACUUUCCAGGAACUGAAGAUUGCAGCAGCAGGGUGCCAUGGGUGCCCUCGCCUGCAGGUGGAGGCCAGGGCUCACGCACGGCGACACCCCCAGCGCCUCCAGAAGCAGUGCUGGGCAGUGCUGAGCCGCAGAAGUCCGGCAAGAGGAUGCUGCAUCCGUCCGGGGCUCUGUCCUGUCUGCCCGCGCAGACAGAGCGGCCAGUGCACCUCCCUGCUGUGUCCUAGACAGGACACGCCAGCAGCCACGGAAAGCAAGCCGCUAAGCAUCCUGUUCCUCGCUCCAUCUACGGGGUCACCUGAGCAGACCUCGGACGCCUGCCAGCAACCGCUUACCACGCCCAUGCCCGCGCAGGCCGCCUCCCGCUCCCACCAGGGUCAGCGGUCAGUGCGUCCACACAAAUGGCGCAGAGGGCGAGAGAGUGCAUUUCCGAGGCUGAGCAACAGCAGGUGCGAAGUGGCUGCACCUGCUCGCUGGGAGGUCCUAGCGCCCGGGCAUUGUCUGGGGCCAGCUCAGGCCCAAGCAAGGCCACAACCUCUCCACGUCCCCAACCAGACUCCACGUACACCCCAAAGCUCUAAAGAAGAUGCCCACGCUGGCCCCUGCUGGCAGAGGGAGCAGAGCACCAGCUCUCACCUCAGCGCCCGUGCAUCCUGGUCUCUGCUUUCCAGUCCCACCCUGCGAGAAAGCCGCACACGUGAGCACACGUGGAGGAGGGCCACACACAUGGAGGGGGCCACACAGGUGAACACAUGCAUGGAAGGGGCACACGUGAGCACACGUGGAGGGGGCACACAGGUGAACACAUGCAUGGAAGUGGCCACACGUGAGCACACGUGGAGGGGCACACGUGAGCACACGUGGAGGAGGGCCACACACGUGAGCACACAUGGAGGGGGCACACAUGAGCACACGUGGAGGAGGGCCACACAGGUGAACACAUGCAUGGAAGUGGCCACACGUGAGCACACGUGGAGGGGGCACACAGGUGAACACAUGCAUGGAAGUGGCCACACGUGA
ensembl:lncRNA